GCACAUUGGAAGAAUUAGGACUUUUCACGGAAGCAAUUGAAAGGUACAGUUGGUGUUCGAGACUUUUCUCAAUUUACCGAUUCUAAAUUCACUUAUUUUAAUUUGGCCAAUUGUUGAUUAGGAUCAAGGUUUAUAUUUUUUAAAUUGGGACUUAGGUGGGAUGUUGAUGCCAAAGAAGGAUUGCCAAAAUGCAUGCAAGUGUUUUACAAGACACUUGAUUUUUAGGAUGAAAUUGGCAACGGAUUGACUAGAAAAGAAAGAUCAUACCGCCUAUUCCAUGCAAAAGAAAAGAUGAAAAUUCAAUUGAGCAUGUACUUGGCUGAGGCCAAAUGAUUCCACCAAAACCACGUAUCGACAAUGGAGGACUACAUGCCUGUUGGAUUAAUAAGCAUUGGUAGUCAAUUGGCGUUUGUGACAGCAUUUUUGGUAAUGGGAGAUAUUGUAACAAAAAAUACUUUUGACUGGUUACCGUCUGAAGACCCCAAGAUAGUGAAGGCCUCGCAAGUAAUUGGUUGGCUUAUGAAUGACAUUGCUGGACACAAGGGUUAAGGAGGAUGAGACAAAGAACAAACUCUAUAAACAAGUGGCCAAUGCUGGAAGUUCAUUAAAGAAAAGCUGCGUGGUCUGACUGCCGUUCCCAUGGUACUCCUCAUGCGAAUUAUCAAUCUUGAAGAUGAAACAGAUCACCACGUUCAUGCUGGGACCAAUUUCAAAGAGUUUGUGGCUCUUCUGCUCGUCAAUCCAUGCCAAUGUGAUGGGUCAAGAAGAACAAGUUUAAUUACCAAGCCGUCAUCCAUCCUGGCGGACCUUUCCGAACGAUUUGAAUUGUGUGUUAACACUUGAUCAAUGCUCUUUUCUAGCCUGAGAAACGCCCCUCUCUCUUUUUCCCUUCACCCCUUUUUUUUUUUUUCUAGUGGGUUUCAAAUAAAAUAAAACAAGAGGAGUAUGUAAAAAAUGCGAUGCUGGAAUAUAUGAAUGUUUUAUAAUG